GACAGAGGGUGCAAACGUUGCUCGGAAUUACUGGGCGUAAAGCGCGUGUAGGCGGACCAACAAGUCAGGCGUGAAAUCCCUGGGCUCAACCCAGGAACUGCACCUGAAACUGUUGGUCUGGAGUGGUGGAGAGGGAAGCAGAAUUCCUGGUGUAGAGGUGAAAUUCGUAGAUAUCAGGAGGAACACCGGUGGCGAAGGCGGGUCUCUGGGCCGAAACUGACGCUGAGGAGCGAAAGCGUGGGGAGCGAACAGG
rnacentral:rRNA from 1 species